rnacentral:lncRNA from 1 species
GUUCAAGAAAGGGCACACCAUACCCCAGUGUUUAAGAGAAUGGAACCAUGGAGAAGGCUCUAGGCCACUCGAAUGCAAAGUUAAUUUGUCCUCACUGACCCCUACAGGACGUGGUUCCUGGUGAAAAGAUUCCCCUUCUCUCACAAGGCUGCAAUGAAGGUGUCAGUCAGCAUGAGGUCUCAUCUGAAAACUUGCCUGGGGAAGGACCUGCUUCCAAGUUCAUCGAAGUAGUUGUUGGAAAGAUUCAGUUCCUUGUAGGUUUUUGGACUGUGGGCCUUCGUUCUUUGCAGGCAGUCAGCAGGAGGCUCUCUUCAGUUCCUUUUUGGAUAAGCCUAUCCAUAGGGUAGCUGACAAUAUAACACCUUGUACAUCAAAGCCAGCAUGGCAGAGAGUUUGCUAACAAGACAGAAGUUACAAUCAUACAUAACAUAAUCAUAACAAUGACAGAUCAUCAUCUUUGCCAUAUUGUAUUGCUUAGAAGCAUCUCAUAGAAGCAGCCCCUCAAGGAAACAGAACUACACAAGACCAUGAAUACCAGGAAGCAGGGGUCUUUGGGUCCAUCUUAAAGUCUAUCUGCCAUACAGCCUAGACUGAUGCAGAGACUGACACUACUGACAAGGCAUUGAAAAAAGUGAAACUGCAAAUGUAACAAAACCCAAGAAGAAAAGUCCAUGGUGCUAUGAUAUUUUCUCAUAGGGGGAUGUGAACUGAAUAAAUUAGGAGAGAAGUUUCUUUCUGAGAAAGAAACAAUCGAACAAGGAACUGAAGUUGAAGUAGGAGUUAAGUAGUUAUUUUUUAAAUUGUACUUUCCCUUCCUUCCUUUCCUCUCUGCCUCUGAGUCACUCAUUUAAAUCACAGAGUUAUUCAGGGAACAAAAGAUACGGGGAACAUUGUAUUUUACAUCAGAUGAGCUCAUCUGAGGAAUGUGCAGAGCAUGUAUUAUCUCCUUAACA